rnacentral:rRNA from 1 species
CUCGUAGGCGGCUUUGCAAGUCGGGUGUGAAAACUCCAGGCUCAACCUGGAGCCGCCACUCGAUACUGCAAUGGCUUGAGUCCGGUAGGGGACCAUGGAAUUCCUGGUGUAGCGGUGAAAUGCGCAGAUAUCAGGAAGAACACCAGUGGCGAAGGCGGUGGUCUGGGCCGGAACUGACGCUGAGGAGCGAAAGCGUGGGGAGCGAACAGGAUUAGAUACCCUGGUAGUCCACGCCGUAAACGUUGGGCACUAGGUGUGGGGACCUAUCGACGGUCUCCGUGCCGUAGCUAACGCAUUAAGUGCCCCGCCUGGGGAGUACGGCCGCAAGGCUAAA